rnacentral:tRNA from 1 species
GAGGGCAUAGCUCAAGUGGUAGAGCACAUGUUUAGCAUGCACGAGGUCCUGGGUUCAAUCCCCAGUACCUCCU